UCAAACUGGAUAUCUAGAGUGCAGGAGAGGAGAAUGGAAUUCCUAGUGUAGCGGGAAAUGCGUAGAGAUUAGGAAGAACACCAGUGGCGAAGGCGAUUCUCUGGACUGUAACUGACGCUGAGGCACGAACGCGUGGGUAGCAAACAGGAUUAGAUACCUGGUAGUCCACGCCGUAAACGAUGAGUGCUAAGUGUAGGAGGUAUCGACCUUCUGUGCUGCAGUAAACACAUUAAGUACUCCGCCUGGGAAGUACGUCGCAAGAUUAAAACUCAAAGGAAUGACGGGGGCCCGCACAAGCAGCGGACAUGUGGUUUAAUUCGAAGCAACGCGAAGAACCUUACCUGGACUUGACAUCCCCUGAUAACCUAGAGAUGGCCAAGCCCUUCGGGGCAAGAAGACAGGUGGUGCAUGGUUGUCGUCAGCUCCUGUCGUGAGAAGUUAGGUUAAGUCCUGCAACGGCGGAACCCUUAUUGUUAGUUGCUAACAUUCAGUUGAGCACUCUAACGAGACUGCCGCGGUAACACGGAGGAAGGUGGGGAUGACGUCAAAUCAUCAUGCCCCUUAUGUACAGGGGAACACACGUGCUACAAUGGGCAGAACAAAGAAAAGCUAUACCGCCAGGUGGAGUCAAAUUCAAAAACUGCUCUCAUUUCGGAUUGCAGGCUGAAACUCUCCUGCAUGAAGCUGGAGUUGCUAGUAAUCUCGAAUCAGCAUGUCGCGGUGAAU
rnacentral:rRNA from 1 species